GAUUGCUGCUACUGAGUUAUUUUUUUUAAAUGAAUUGCAUUCAAUUGACAAUCACAGUGCUAAUAUUUUGACUGAUUAGCUGAGUGAAAAAAUUCCCCAACAAGAUAUUUUGGUUUAACUUUUACAGAUUGGUAGCAAAUGAACUUCAGUCCGCUGUUUAUGUAAUAAAACCAUAUUGCCUUCUGCUUAAUUUGCAAUUCUUACUGGAUAUAUGAUAUGUAUGGAUUUGUAUUGGGAUAUACAGUAUUUUACAUAACAUUUUAAAAUAAUACUACUAAUCUUACUCGACAAACAUGGUGCUACUGCCAAAUGUCAUGUUGUAUUUUGUAUGAGUAAUAAGUAAAAUAGUGAAAUUAUUAAAUGGU